rnacentral:lncRNA from 10 species
CAGGACCAGACAUGAGCAGAUAUUACUGGAUCUUGGACAAGUGGGUCUCUAAGGAACAUCAAAGACCCUGAGAAGCCAAAAGUUAUGAAAUGCAUCAGCAGUGGGUUGAAGACAAGACCUCUCCUUUUCCUGCUGACAUUUCUUCCAUGAGCAGUACCCAGACAGCCGACAGAAAGAGCCCAGGAGCUGGGGAAGUUGGGCAGAGUGCCCCCGAAGGAGGAGAUUCCACACAGGCCCUGUGUAUCUGAGAGUUGAGUUGCUGAUUUCAGAGGUGUUUGUAUCAUUGCUCUAAAUGUGUUUCUGCUCCCCUCCCACCCAAGAUGCUGGUUCAACGGACCAUUUCAUCCUACCAUUAUACAGAACCCACAGGAGCUAGUUACCUGGUCAGUUUGAGAAGUUAAUAUUUAAAAAGACUAAUGGUUGCAUAUGGCUUCCACAGGAAAGAAAUAAUAAGCUAAUGUUAUCUAUUGACUCAAUCCCACAUAUAUUUACAUUUGACAACUUAAAAAAAAAACCUUCGGCUCAAUGAUAGUUUAGCUCAAGUCACUAUGUUAGGAUAUAUAUUUCUUUCAUCUAUGACUAUUUUUGUCUGCACAGUAACCUGCCUCAAGCACACAAAUAUUUGUGUGUCUGGCCUCAAGCAAUUAACGUGUCUCCUAACAUGAGAUAAAGAUUAAAUGAAAAUUCUGUCACCCUGAAAUAAACCUGGAAGCAGAAUUCCUGAAUGUUUGCCAAAUAAGGUGACUAUCAGACUUAAGAUGCUGAACUUUGAAAUGACUGUCAUAGAAACAAAGGCAAGGCAUGGUUGGCGCCCAUUCAACCUGGUCAAUAACAUCCUUAAUUACAGGACAUGGCAUCAUUUUGAUUCACAGUGGAAUAAAAGGCAUCUAUUUGUAUAUUUGGAAGUCUGAAUGAGGAUUUCCUGAUGAAGUCAUUUCUGUCUUACAACAGCUUCGCUUGUACCAGUAGAGUUAAAACUGGGUCACCAUUUUUAUGCGAGCGUAUGGAUACACAUACAUCCACACUCGAACCCCAAACACACACACACACACACACACACACUUCAUUUCAGAGUCUAAUUAAAACUCUAUUAUACAUAAUUUUCUUCCAGAUCAAUGGUGGUGUUGGAUCAAAAUUGUAGCUCACAAGGAAAAUCCUGUAAAGGAACCAUAUUUUUCUGUGUUGCCUGCCAAAAUGAGAACAUCAUUUGUUAAAUAAUGUGGGACACAGGUGCCCCGGAUGUACUAUUUAAUGGAGAAAGAAAAAGAGAGAAACAAUGGCUGCCAGUAUCCGGGAAAAAUGCGACUAGCUUCUUAAGCUUCUUCACCCAGAAAUUGUUACAAAUAGAAGGGAAUCUGACUUUGAGCUAUGAGUUGUUGCUUCCCCAUGACUGAAUUCCCCAAGAACUGAGUUAUUACUGACCUGUGAUUUGCUCAUCAUAAGGUCUCACUGUUAAUUACUGCUCUCUGCUCCGCAGAAACUUUGAAUUCCACCAAAGGGUGUGCCGAAGGCUUAGAUGUUGAGAAGCGUGAAUUCAUCCUGCACAACAAAUAUCAUAGAGAUGGGACUGGAGCGGGGGACAAGAAGGGGGAGAAUGAACAAGAUGCAUGUUGCAAAACCCCAAGGGGUGCUAUUUGUAUGGUAGCCUGAGUGAACAGCAAUUUCCCUGAGGGGUGGUUGCAGCAGAUACUGUGGGUACCAUCUCUACAUCUCUUACUCCUUACUCGUUCCUGCCUUACUCCUUCAGGGCAGAGCAGCCCAACUUACUCUUUGCCUAAGGACAGUCUCUGGUAUCUAAGUCUAGGUUAGCCACUCAUGGCAGGCCAGAUGAAUGAUUGCUAGGAGUCUUGCAUAUACACCCGGUUUCCUUGCCACUUGGAUAGGAUAAAGGUGCUUCACCCCAUUUUCCAGCAGUCUCCAGCAAGUCUAGGUUCCACUUGCUCACAGCAGUAGCUGAUUUUGUGAAACAUCCUUUCUGGGCUGCCUUCCUUUCUCUCUCUCCCUUUCCCUCUCCCAUCUCUGAUUUUCUUCUACUUCCCCCAAUAUAUUAAUAUUAUCUCAGGGAUGGCUUUUGGGAACCCCAAUCAAAGAAAGGAGCAAACUCAAUUAAGACCCUCUGUUUUAGGUAACUUUGGGAACCUGGUGGAGCAUCCUGACAUUACAUCCUGAACCAGAGUAUGUCUCAAGAUAUUUUUGGAUCCUGCUUUUGUGGAGACAGAAUCCACAACACAGCAGAGAGUUCCUCACUCCAAGAGGUACAUUCUUCUUACUGUCUGGUUCACUCCCUAGACACAUGCCAGCUUGACCAUCAUACAGAGCAGCCCCCAGGAUGAAGGCAAACUUCUAUCUGGAGUCUGAUCUUUCCAAGAUAGGGCUGAAUCAACUUAGCUCUUUUUUCUUGUGGCUCAUUGCUGCUUUCCAGAUUGAGAAUAGCCUCAGAUUUCUUUCUGGCUUCCAUAUACCAUGCAUCCUAUUGCUUUGCUUAUACUCUUACCCCCCAAUGUCAAAAUAGUCCUGAAGUGUAUACCAGAUCAUGUCACACAUAUGCAGAACUGAUCAUGUCAGUUCAACCUUGGCUCCAAGAAUAAAGCUGUAAGUCCUAUAACCACAAGGCCUUAGGGUGACUUGAUUCCUGAAGGCUACUCCAAUAUCAUUUCUUCUCAUUUUCCUCAUCACACCUUGCCUUUCUUUGAACGUGGUGACAUAUUCCUGCUGCAGAAUUUUGCAUUGGCUGUUUCCUCUAUCUGGUGCACUCUUUUUAUUGAAGGUGCACUCUUACCUAACCUAACUCAUGCUUUUGUGCAAAUGUCACCAUCUCAGACAGGCCUUUGCUAACCAUCCCAGCACCCCUUUAAUUUAUUAUUGCUUACUUUAAUUGUUUCUCUUUAUAGCUGUCAGCACCAACUGACAUUAUAUGUACUCGUUUGGCUGGUUUUUGUUAGUCUUUCCAUGACAAUGUAAGCGCCACUGGCUCAUCACUAACAUCAUGUGCCUGGCACACAGAAAGUACUCAAUUAAUAUUUAUAUGGUUGCUGAAUUAAUAUAUGGUGUUACCUUUAAAGAGAAGCGAAGUAAUCUGUAAAUGCUUUUACUAAAAUAAUCAUUUACCUGCAGACUAGGUAUUUUAAAAUAUAGUCUAUUUCCUGUUAUAGAUUGAUUUAUUUUUAAAGUAUUGUCUCCUUACUCUUUAAAGAUACAUUUUCCCUGUUUUCCAAAUUAGUUAUUUUUUCUUUUUGAUUAUUCAUUCCCAAGUUAGGAGAAUGUCUAAAACUUGAGAUGUACUGACUGACAAAUUAACUAACAAAGAACAGAAAUAUAUACCUCAAAUUGCACUGCUAUCAUCUAUGAUCAUUUAUUUAUUCAGCAGAUAUUAAUUGAGCGUUUACUAUAUCUCAGACACCGCUGUACAUAUUCAGAGAAUACAACAGCCAAAGAUUUCUCACCUCAAAGAACUUAUACAGAAAAGACACGCAAUAAAAUGUAAACAUGAUAAAUGAAUUAUUUUAUUUUAUUUUAUUUUAUUUUUGAGACAGAGUUUUGCACUUGUUGCCCAGGCUGGAGUGCAAUGGCGUGAUCUCGGCUCACCGCAACCUCUGCCUCCCGGGUUCAAGCGAUUCUCCUGCCUCAGCCUCCCAAGUAGCUGGGAUCAUAGGCAUGCGCCACUAUGCCCAGUUAAUUUUUUGUAUUUUUAGUAGAGAUGGGGUUUCACCAUGUUGGCCAGGUUGGUCUGAAACACCCGACCUCAGGUCAUCAGCCCACCUCGGCCUCCCAAAGUGCUGGGAUUACAGGCGGGAGCCACUGCACCUGACUGAUAAAUGAAUUAUUUAAUGUGUUUGAAGGAUACACUAGGGUGGUCAGGGGAGGCUUCACUAAGUUGACUUCUGGGCAGAGCUUGAAUUAGUGAGUGUGAAUGUGAAGCCAUGUGCAUACAUGUGGGAGGAGCACUCUAGACAAAGAGCAAGGCCAAGGCAGAGGUUCUGAGGUGGGAGCAUGCCAAGCUUGUUAUAGAGGGCAAGCUGCAGGCUGCUGAGCAAGGAGGAAGAGGGGUAGGAGAUGAAACCAAAGAAGAAUCAGGAAAGCAGGCCAUGUAGGCCCCUGGAAGCAUUAAAAGGACCUUGAUUUUCACAUAUGCCAAUAAUUGUUAAAAGGCAAUAAUAAUAGCUGUUGCCACCACAUUCGACUACAUAGUAUUCCCUGCUUGUUCCAUAUAAAGUUACUCCAUGUAAAUACAGACCCUGUGAUCACUCUUGUUGAUAAUGAUUUUAUUGUAUUAUUGUUUCUCUAUAAGGUGACUGCUGUUACAUUUUUCUUAAUUACACAGCAGUGAAACACUUCAUUGAUAAUAAAUACAAAGGAGAAAAAAUAAUUUAUAAAAUAAAAAUAGAGGUUUAAUAAAU